rnacentral:rRNA from 1 species
UACACUCCUGCGGGAGGCAGCAGUGGGGAAUAUUGGACAAUGGGCGCAAGCCUGAUCCAGCCAUGCCGCGUGAGUGAUGAAGGCCCUAGGGUUGUAAAGCUCUUUCACCGGAGAAGAUAAUGACGGUAUCCGGAGAAGAAGCCCCGGCUAACUUCGUGCCAGCAGCCGCGGUAAUACGAAGGGGGCUAGCGUUGUUCGGAAUUACUGGGCGUAAAGCGCACGUAGGCGGAUCGAUCAGUCAGGGGUGAAAUCCCAGGGCUCAACCCUGGAACUGCCUUUGAUACUGUCGAUCUGGAGUAUGGAAGAGGUGAGUGGAAUUCCGAGUGUAGAGGUGAAAUUCGUAGAUAUUCGGAGGAACACCAGUGGCGAAGGCGGCUCACUGGUCCAUUACUGACGCUGAGGUGCGAAAGCGUGGGGAGCAAACAGGAUUAGAUACCCUUGUAGUCCCAUGA